rnacentral:RNase_P_RNA from 3 species
AUACCGCAGUGCGCAGUCGCUGUAGAGAGCCUUCGCUCUCUGCAGAGGAAAGUCCGAACAUCGCAGGACAGGGUGCCGGCCGAGAGCCUCUGGCUCAAGUCCGGGCUCACGGCCUGUCAGCCGUGAGACAGCAAGUGCAACAGAAAGCAAACCGCUCCGGAAUACCGGAGUAAGGGUGAAACGGUGGUGUAAGAGACCACCAGGCAUGCCAGUAAUGACAUGUGCUGGGUAAACCUCCCCGAUGCAAGGCUGAAUAGGGAAGCUUUUUCAUAACGAAAAGAGGGCUGUCCGUCCGAUUCCUGUUUCAGGAGAGUUUCCGGGUGAGCCGCACCAGAUAAAUGACUGCGGCCUUCCAGGGCUCCGGCUCUGAAAGGACACAGAAUUCGGCUUAUAACUGCGGUAUCAUU